rnacentral:rRNA from 1 species
UACGUAGGGGGCAAGCGUUGUCCGGAAUCAUUGGGCGUAAAGAGCGCGUAGGCGGCCCUGUAAGUCCGCUGUGAAAGUCAAGGGCUCAACCCUUGGAUGCCGGUGGAUACUGCAGGGCUAGAGUCCGGAAGAGGCGAGUGGAAUUCCUGGUGUAGCGGUGAAAUGCGCAGAUAUCAGGAGGAACACCGAUGGCGAAGGCAGCUCGCUGGGAUGGUACUGACGCUGAGGCGCGAAAGCGUGGGGAGCAAACAGG